rnacentral:rRNA from 1 species
AUUGAACGCUGGCGGCAGGCCUAACACAUGCAAGUCGAGCGCGAAAGUCCUUCGGGAUGAGUAGAGCGGCGGACGGGUGAGUAACGCGUAGGAAUCUGUCCGGUAGUGGGGGAUAACGUUCCGAAAGGAACGCUAAUACCGCAUACGCCCCAUGGGGGAAAGCGGGGGAUCUUCGGACAUCGAGCUACCGGGGGAGCCUGCGUCGGAUUAGCUAUGUGGUAGGGUAAAGGGCUAACAAGGCGACGAUCCGUAGCUGUUCUGAGAGGAUGAUCAUCCACACCGGAACUGAGACACGGUCCGGACUCCUACGGGAGGCAGCAGUGGGGAAUAUCGCGCAAUGGGGGCAACCCUGACGCAGCCAUGCCGCGUGUGUGAAGAAGGCCUUCGGGUUGUAAAGCACUUUCAGAGGGGAGGAAAGGGCGCUGGCUAAUAUCCAGCGCAGUUGACGCUACCCUCAGAAGAAGCACCGGCUAAUUCCGUGCCAGCCGCCGCCGUAA